CCCCUAGAUGUCCUGGGCCGCACGCGCAAUACAAUGUAAAGUUCAGAAAGCAUAUCCUGUUCCGGAAGGCAAUGGGUAAUCUUUUCAAUAUUUUACGUGUUAGGGAUCGAUCUUUGCAAUUAUAGAUCUUGAACGAGGAAUACCUAGUAAGUGCAGCUCAUCAGGCUGUACUGAUUACGUCCCUGCCCUUUGUACACACCGCCCGUCGCUACUACUGAUUGGAUGUUUAAGCGAGGUUCUCGAACUGCUAGCGACUUAGCUUCGGUGAGGUCGCAGUGUGGGAAGUGAACCUAGCUUUGGUGUCUAGAGGAAGUAAAAGUCGUAACA
rnacentral:rRNA from 1 species